GAUGAACGCUGGCGGCGUGCCUAAUACAUGCAAGUCGAGCGAACAGACGAGGAGCUUGCUCCUCUGACGUUAGCGGCGGACGGGUGAGUAACGCGUGGAUAACCUACCUAUAAGACUGGGAUAACUUCGGGAAACCGGAGCUAAUACCGGAUAAUAUAUUGAACCGCAUGGUUCAAUAGUGAAAGACGGUUUUGCUGUCACUUAUAGAUGGAUCCGCGCCGCAUUAGCUAGUUGGUAAGGUAACGGCUUACCAAGGCAACGAUGCGUAGCCGACCUGGGAGGGUGAUCGGCCACACUGGAACUGAGACACGGUCCAGACUCCUACGGGAGGCAGCAGUAGGGAAUCUUCCGCAAUGGGCGAAAGCCUGACGGAGCAACGCCGCGUGAGUGAUGAAGGUCUUCGGAUCGUAAAACUCUGUUAUUAGGGAAGAACAAAUGUGUAAGUAACUAUGCACGUCUUGACGGUACCUAAUCAGAAAGCCACGGCUAACUACGUGCCAGCAGCCGCAGUAA
rnacentral:rRNA from 1 species